GACGAACGCUGGCGGCGUGCUUAACACAUGCAAGUCGAGCGGUAAGGCCCUUUCGGGGGGUACACGAGCGGCGAACGGGUGAGUAACACGUGGGUGACCUGCCCUCAGCUCUGGGAUAAGCCUGGGAAACUGGGUCUAAUACUGGAUAUGACUCCACGGUGCAUGUCGUGGGGUGGAAAGCCUUGUGCGGCUGAGGAUGGGCCCGCGGCCUAUCAGCUUGUUGGUGGGGNGAUGGCCUACCAAGGCGACGACGGGUAGCCGGCCUGAGAGGGCGACCGGCCACACUGGGACUGAGACACAGCCCAGACUCCUACGGGAGGCAGCAGUGGGGAAUCUUGCGCAAUGGGCGAAAGCCUGACGCAGCGACGCCGCGUGAGGGAUGACGG
rnacentral:rRNA from 1 species